GGAUGUGAGGGCGAUCUGGCUGAAACAUCUGCAAUCCAUUGAUAUUGGUUGACAUGGCAGAUCUGGCUGGCUAUGUGUCUCCUUCCCUCACUGCUCCAUGUGCAUCCCUCUCAAAGCUGCUCACUCAGUGAAAGAGGAUGAGCCAUCCCAGAUCUGAUUGUCAGGGUUCCAAGUAAAACACCAUAACAAACAGAACUCCAAAGCAGAUACAUUCCUCAAAGAACAGUUUUAUUAGAAAUGUCAUAUUGGCACAGGCUGGUGAAAACCGGUUUUCAGCUA
rnacentral:sRNA from 1 species